GGCAAGUCAUUUUGCGUGAAGCUCUGUCAUCCCAUUAACUGAGUUUUUCCUGCAACGUUGCAUAAUAUUCUUACCAAUUACAUUAAUCGGCCCCUGACUGCAUGCUUCAAUAUGUCCCCGCAGUAACGGAAUGGUACCUACAGUUGGUGGUGUCCAGCCAGUGAGGAAUCGUAUUUCAUGGCUCCCAAGAAUCGGGAUUUGUUUCAAACGAAAUGCCUAAUACUGCCAUGGCUCAUGCAGCAAUCCUAAACGAUGAUAAGUUAGUGGACUCGUGUGCUCCUCGAAAGGCUGGUGGAAAGUUGCCAAUCGUGAAUGGUAAUGCGGACUAGUGGGAUUCCGCAAAAACUGGUGAAAAUGUACCAAAGAUAAAAGACGCGGAGUAUUUCUUCUGUCAAUUCAAAUGCCAGUCGAGGUUACGUGAAACAAAUACAUUGGUAAAACGGUGAACCCAUUGUGUUUCCCACUCAAACAAUCCUAUUGAACUCCACAAGCGGGUAGUGCCGAUUUCGUGUCCCAUUCAACUUUUCUACCCACCUCACAAAAGAUUACAAGGGUCAACGACGAUCCUCGAAACCGUAUUUUUCGACAACCCCUACAGCUUUUGCUGCUAUACGGUUGAUGUGGGUCCACUUCUUGAAGACUUACUGGACAAAUUGGCUGCAGCUUACACAGAAUCUAUAACAAGCGUGUGGGUGUCGGCUAAUACAAGGAUGAUGGCUGGCGGCACUGUGGCCUAAUCUUGAAAGUGGAAGGAAGUGAAGCCGAAGUGCUAUUUGUAGACAGUGACAAUAAACAGCUUACUUCCACUAGGCCAGUCGAGCAUACUGAGUCAAAUUGCCGUCCCUGGCUUAUCAUUGUUGUCUGGACGGCAUUCCAAAAUCCUCCGUUCUUGGACAUCCGAAGAUAAGGCACCGUUUUGAACAACUCGGCAUGGCCAAACGUAUCUUGGUCACGUACUCCAACCGAUGUGAAAAUAGCUACAUUCUCAGUUCAUGUAACGCUAGAGCACACUGGUGCCUGUCUUGUCGAAAUCGAUGACCUUUUCACUCCUGCUCGCAAAAUUCUUCCCGUGCCAUAUAUUGCCAGCUAUCCAGCCCUACCAACUUCGUCUGAAUCGACCUAAGUGAACUCGGCU